CUGGAAUUCGGCUUAGAGUUUGAUCCUGGCUCAGAACGAACGGUAGCGGCGUGGAUUAGGCAUGCAAGUCGACUGGAUCCUUACUUCGGUUUGGUGAAGGUGGCGAAAGGGUGAGUAAUGCAUAGACAACCAACCCCUGACUCCGGGAUAACUGGGGGAAACUUCAGCUAAUACCGGAUAGGCUUGCCGGGGAGCAUUCUUUGGCAAGUAAAGCUGGCCUCUCAUUGAAGCUUGUGGUUGGGGACGGGUCUAUGUCCUAUCAGCUUGAUGGUGAGGUAACGGCUCACCAUGGCGACGACGGGUAGCCGACCUGAGAGGGUGACCGGCCACACUGGGACUGAGACACUGCCCAGACUCCUACGGGAGGCUGCAGUCGAGAAUCUUCCGCAAUGGGCGCAAGCCUGACGGAGCGACGCCGCGUGCGGGAUGAAGGCCUUCGGGUUGUAAACCGCUGUCACAGGUUAAGAAGGGGUCGCACGACAACAACGUGCGGCUUACAGACAAAGGCCGAGAGGAAGCCACGGCUAA
rnacentral:rRNA from 1 species